UACGUAGGGUGCAAGCGUUGUCCGGAAUUAUUGGGCGUAAAGAGCUCGUAGGCGGUUUGUCGCGUCUGCUGUGAAAACCCGAGGCUCAACCUCGGGCCUGCAGUGGGGUACGGGCAGACUAGAGUGCGGUAGGGGAGAUUGGAAUUCCUGGUGUAGCGGUGGAAUGCGCAGAUAUCAGGAGGAACACCGAUGGCGAAGGCAGAUCUCUGGGCCGUAACUGACGCUGAGGAGCGAAAGCAUGGGGAGCGAACAGG
rnacentral:rRNA from 1 species